GUGAAUAUUGUGGCUCACCCGGAAAAUGCAUAUCUGAGCGCUCGCAGGUGCCAGCCAUCUAUUCGAAGGGGAGAAAAAAAACUCUACUCCCAAGGAGUUUUUCUUUUCUUUCUAAAGGGUCUAUUAUUCUCAGAACACAACAACUGUUCGUCACCUAAAAGGACAGGAUGACACCAAAGGAGUUAUGAUAGCAGCACUUAUAGGCAUUGAGGAAUUGGCAAAGAGAUUACGCUUCAUAGGUAUGAAGUUAGAACAACGGCUGGAAACUAUGAAAGGCCGUUUCUAAUUACCUUUGUUGGAUCUGUCUUACCUACAAUGCAUGUGUGACCCCUGGAGAAGCCACUUUUUGUUUCGUCUGCAGUAUACUCCAUGUUUAGUUCCAAUGAUGCCCUAACCCUUUUGUUCCUGCUCUAAAGAAUAAGACAUGUAUAGGCUUCAGAUUUUUGUAAUCAUCUAUGUGCUAAACAUCCCUUUGUGGUUAUGUGUUUUAUAUGUAAUCAAGCAUCUAUCCAUGAUGAUAUAUAUGCCCAGCUAAUGUUUGAAAAGAUC